UGGGGAUAUAGUUUAAUGGUAGAACAUCUGCUUUGCACGCAGAAGACGAGGGUUCAACUCCCUCUUUCUCCACCAA
rnacentral:tRNA from 2 species